UGAGCAAUCUGCCCUUCUCAUCGGAAUAAGCGUUGGAAACGACGUCUAAUGCCGAAUACGACCUCCUUUCGCAUGAUCGGAGGUGGAAAGCUCAGGCGGAGAAGGAUGAGCUCGCGGCCUAUCAGCUAGUUGGUGUGGGUAAUGGCCCACAAGGCGACGACGGGUAGCCGGCCUGAGAGGGUGACCGGCCACACGUGGGACUGAGACACGGCCCAGACCUCCGUAGGGACG
rnacentral:rRNA from 1 species